CAUGUUCAAGAUCGAGCAGCAGUUGUUCCAUCUUCAGCAAGGGGAAAUGGACGUCACAGAGUACUACAAUACUCUUGGGCAUCACUGGCUACACCUGGAUACGUAUGAUGCAUAGGAAUGGGAUACUCCUGAAGAUCAGCUACGAUUCAGGAUGUAUAUUGAGAAGAAAAGGACCCUGUCCUUUCUCAUAGGGUUAAAUCAGGAUCUGGACAGCAUAAAGAGCCAAAAUAAUGAGCACCAAGCCCUUCCCUAGUCUCACGGAGGCGUUUGCUGCCAUAUUUGGGGAAGAAAAUCGAAGAGAUCUCAUGGUUGUUCUAGCCAAACCUCCUCCUACUCCUCAAGUUGAAAGUUCGGCCCUUGCUGUGCGCAAUCAAUACCGCAACAACAAGCAGGUGCAAAACCCACCAAAAGGAGAAGAGGAAGAAGACAACUACUGUGACCACUGCCGAAGACAUGGACACACAAGAAGUGAGUGUUAUUUUCUGGUUGGAGGCCCUCCAGGCUGGAAACCACGCAGCAAGAGACGUGGCCAAGCUCACGUGGCUGCUGCUGCUGCAGACAAGCAACCAGAGACUGAGAGCAGUCCCUUUACUAAGGAACAAGCCACUGCCCUAGAGAAGUUCUUCACCAAAAUCAUGAGCAGGAAUCCACCUUCACAGCAAACAAAUUCAUCCUCGGACACAUACACCGAAUUGUUUGCUAGUAAAGGUUCAAUUCUAAACAACCUGCUAAGUGGAUAAUAGAUUCAGGAUGUUCAGACCUGAGGAAAUACCGUAUAUAUUUGUAUAUAUUUAAGAUCAUAGUUAGUUUAUUUAGUUACCAUUUUAGUACUAGUUCUAUCCUAUUCUAGCUAGUAGAUCCUAUAAAAUAGUUAGAGUAAAUAUAUUCUUACCUAAUCAGUAGGAAGAAUGCUGUAUAUAUUGAGCCUACGGGACAUGAAUAAAAUCAUUCAUUCUCUCAAUCUUCAAGACCAUAUGAUGGGAUCCAGAGAGGUGUUAAUAGAGUUCCAAACUUAUCCUAGUACUCUGGGUCCGUAUUGCUGAUGGUAGUUUAUCAACUAUUGAGGGGAUAGGCAGGGUUAAACUGAAUGGCAAGAUUGAUAUAUUCUCUAUCCUAUAUGUACCCUCCUUGAGCUGCAACUUGAUAUCCAUUAGCCAGCUAAGUAGGGAUCUUCAGUGUAAAGCCGUGUUCAGUGCUAAUCAGUGUUCCCUUCAGGAAGAAAGCUCAGGGAAGACGAUUGGAACUGAUGAGUUACAUGACGACCUUUACAUCAUGAACGGGGCUACUUGUGGUGAAGAACUUGGUGGACAAAAUAGAGCGUUGAUUACUAGUAAUAGCACGAAUAAUCGUGAUAGCCAGAUCAUGUUAUGGCAUAGCCGAUUAGGGUAUCCUAGUUUUGGAUAUUUAGAAAAAUUUUUACUUAGGUUAUUUCUCAAUAAAAGUUCCAAGGAUUUACAAUGCGAAGUUUGCCAACUAGCCAAACACACUCAUAGCAGCUAUCUAGGAAUGAGUUAUAAACCUACGAAGCCUUUUGCCAUUAUCCACAGUGACAUUUGGGGCCCUACUCGGGUCAAGAACAUCAACGGGGCACGAUGGUUCCUUACUUUCAUAGACGACCAUACAAGACUAACAUGGACGUUCCUAAUGAAAGAAAAGUCAGAAACCACAACCAUGUUUCAGGAAUUCCAUCACAUGAUACUCAAUCAGUUUGGAACCCAUAUACAGGUUCUCAAAAUCGAUAAUGCCCACGACUACUUCAAUUCAGUCCUAGGGUCAUACUUAUCUCUCCAUGGCAUUGUUCACUGCAGUUCAUGUGUGGACACACCUCAGCAGAACGGAAUUGCUGAGCGUAAGAAUCGACAUCUCCUCGAGACAGCUAGAGCAUUGCUCUUCACCAAACAGGUUCCAAAGUACCUAUGGGGGGAGGCUGUGUUAACAGUAAUCUACUUGAUCAAUAGGCUACCAAGUCGCAUCCUCGACUAUCAAACACCUAAAGAUGUGUUGAUGAAAGCAUACCCACAUGUACAUGCGUAUAUGUCUGAAUUGUAACCUAAGGUCUUUGGGUGCCUUGCCUUCACUCACAUCCAGCAACAUCAAAGGACCAAGCUAGAUCCUCGAGCACAGAAGUGUGUGUUCAUUGGCUAAUAUUCUCCACAAAAAACUGACAGCAGAAAGGUUACAAAUGUUACUCCCCUAUCACCAAGAAAAUUGUGGUGACCAUGGAUGUGACAUUUUUUGAAACCUUCGCAUAUUACAAUACUCCAAAGCUUCAGGGGGAGACACAGCCACAGCCAACAGUGGCAAAGGCAGAAGAAGCUCUAGAUCUGAAAAAUUUAAUUGCUUUAGAUGGGCCAACCAUGCCUCCCAUUCAUACGGGAAUAGUUGGAGAAGAACUAGAACCUGCUCCAAAAACGAGCAGCAGACCACCAAUUCAACAUAUUUACCAGCGGAGACAGAGACUUGAGCCUAAUAUAGAGCCUGAACCAGAAACUGGAGUAAACAGUGAGGGAACUGACCUAAGCCCUGAAUUUAGGGCGUUUACUGUACACUUGGAUACCAAACCUCGCAACAUAGAGGAGGCCAUGAGAAUACCUGAGUGGAGACAGGCAGUUUUGGAAGAGAUAAGGGCGUUACAAAGCAAUGAAACCUGGAGGAUUGUUGACCUACCACCAGGAAAACAAACAGUAGACUACAAAUGGCUGUUUACAAUAAAGUACAGGGCAGAUGGCAGUGUGGAGAGACACAAGGCUAGGCUCGUAGCACGAGGAUUUACACAAACAUAUGGGAUUGACUACCAGGAAACGUUUGCCCCGGUAGCAAAACUCAACACCGUUCGGAUCCUACUGGCAGUGGCAGUAAAUGAAAACUGGCCCCUGUAUCAAAUGGACGUCAAAAAUACAUUCCUAAAUGGAGCAUUAACAGAGGAAGUUUAUAUGAAAAUUCCAGAAGGGGUGCCUCAUGCUAAAACCGGGAGAAAGGUGUGCAAGCUGGAGAAGUCCCUGUACGGACUAAAACAGUCUCCGAGAGCUUGGUUUGGAAAAUUUUCAGCAACUGUAACAUCUAAUGGCUACCACCAGUGUCAAACAGAUGACACAAUGUUCGUGAAACAUGGAGCUGGGAACAAGAUAGCCAUCCUGAUUGUCUACGUCGAUGACAUUAUAAUCACGGGUAAUGACAAUGAGGAGAUUUCAAGGUUGAAGAUCAAACUGGGAACUGAGUUUGAGAUGAAAGACCUAGGAGAAAUGAAAUAUUUCCUUGGAAUGGAGGUGGCCAGAUCAAGCAAAAGACUUUCUAUAUCCCAGAGAAAGGACAUCCUAGAUCUACUAGAGGAAACCGGUAUGACAGGGUGCAAACCGGCAGAUACCCCAAUGCAGUCAAACAUGAAGUUCAGUGUAGAAGAGAACGGGGGAAAAGCAGACAAGGGAAGAUACCAACAGCUGGUAGGAAAGCUUAUAUACCUAGCACACACUCGACCUGACAUAGCUUUUGCUGUGAGUGUAGCCAGUUCAUGAAUUAAUCAAAGAGUGAGCACAUGAAUGCUGUAAAUUAUAUUCUUAGAUACCUAAAGAAAACCCCAGGAUUGGGGCUGAUGUUCAAGAAGAAUGAGAGCAGAAUGAGAGCAGGUCAGUGGAAAUAUACACUGAUGCAAGCUGGGCCAGUGAAAUCACAACGAGGAGAUCGACCACAGGUUACUGCUCUUAUGUAUGGGGAAACUUGGUAACGUGGAGAAGUAAGAAGCAGUCAGUUGUUGCACGAAGCAGUGCAGAAGUAGAAUAUCGAGCUCUUGCUCUCGGGAUUCAGGAAGUCAUGUGGAUACGAGUCCUAAAGGAACUAGGGUUACCAGGACACGGGAGAGCUACACUAUAUAGUGAUAGCCAAUCAGCCUUAAGCAAUGUUAAGAAUCUUGUACAUCACAACAGGACCAAGCAUGUCGAGAUAGACAUGCAUUUUAUCACUGAAAAGGUGGAAGGGGGAGUUGUGGAUGUGAGAUAUGUUCAGUCCAAACAGCAGACAACUGACAUACUCACAAAGGCUCUUCCACGAGAACUAUCAGAACAUUUCAAGUCCAAGCUUGGUCUGCACAACAUUUACACCAAGCUUGAGGGGGAGUGAAGAAAUCCCGUUCAUAUUUGUAUAUAUUCAUAUCAUAGUUAGUUUAUUUGCUAGUUAGAUAGUUACCAUGUUAGUACUAGACCUACCCUAUUUUAGCUAGCAGAUCCUAUUAGAUAGUUAGAGUAAAUAUUUUCUUACCUAAUUGGUAGGAGGCCUAUUGUAUGUAUUAAGCCUACGGGACAUGAAUAAAAUUAUUCAUUCUCUCAAUCUUCGUUAGGAUUCUAAACUAUAUAGGUCUAUCAUUAACACCUAUGUAAUUUAUAUACAAUACAUAUAAAUCGAACGAGGCACAUGUACCUAAUUUGAGAUAUAAAUCGAACGAGGCAACUGUCUUCUAACCUAGCAUUUAUCUCUUCUAUCAAUAACAUAAGAGAAAGAAACAAAUCUUAAACAAAAUUCUAUACCUUUGUUCAAAUGCAGCCACUGUCUUCAGAUACCUAUCACGAGCUCCACACCUGCAAGCUGUAGAUCAAGGUAGCAUCAUCAGGCACUGCAUCAAUGAUUCUAAAUUUCUCGAAAUUCUGCCCUCAGAUUUCAGCUAUUAAUAGUGAAACACCAGCUAUUCCUCGUAUCUCAUGAAAUAAAAUUUGAUGGACUCUUUGCUUUCCUUGGAUUCUUUUCUGGAGAGCUACUUACAUUGAUGAUAUCAGAGGCUACCAACCAGUCCAUGUCGGCGUAUGUGAUGGUUUAGAUGAAGCUUCCCUCAACUCGUUGCAGUGCAUAUCUAAUAUGGAACGGGUACAGAGAGGUUAUGUUUACUCAUAAUAAUUGACUGAGAUUAGUGAUGAGUUGCUGAAUUCCUCAAAACAAUGUGUUGUGUUGAAGCUGUUAAAUGUUUCACCAAGGGUAGAAGCUCCUGCAAGUUUUCUUGUCACCUUUAUCACACGUGUAAAAAGAAUUGUUUUGUAAUGUUGAGUUGAUAUGAUAUCACCCAAGCACCGACUUGUAACCCACUUCUAUCUUAGCAUCUUAGCUGUCUUCCAUAUAUAUAAAUAUCGCCAAUCUUGUAAGCGAGUCUAACAUAAUCCCACCCUACCCAAAUAUAAGUCUUGUGAUCUCUGUACAACAACAGCAACUCGGAGAUAGUAGUACUAGCAGAUGCAUCAAAAGAACUGGCAUCAUUUAAACUUACAAAGCCACAACUAACACAAGCCAACAUGUUAUCAAGAGGAGUCAAUAUGCUUCUAUUUUGAUUGCUUGUAUAUCUCUUAGGUACUCCAGAGAUAGCCCAUACUCCAGAGUCCUAAGCAAAAGCAUAACUAGCCACAAUGAGUUUACAAUUGCACUUGGGAUCGGUUUUAAUAUUGUAUCUCAGUUUCUGCUUGAUGCAUCCAUUCUGAAUCGUGGGUCUGCAAAUACAUGCCUCUGUUAAUGUUUGUAAGCGAGCUACCGCUUACUCUUACAGCUCUACUCAACCAACCCACUACAGAAUCAAUUUCAUGCAAUCCAGAUAUAACACGUCCAAUUUUGACCAGAGCAAGAAGGAGAAUUGGGCCUUCUUAUUAAGUACAAUGCAUUUCUACAUGUGCAUGUUUGAAAGAUUACCUGUCGUUAGAGAAGUAGCUUCUGCUUUCCAUCAUCAUUAUCCAGCAUUAAGGUCAAUCUACCUUCAAUGUAUAUAGACAUUACGACACCACCGCUUUAGAGACAGACCAUGACUUCACUUUCAGUUGUCAACAAAGAGAACUGAAUGCCACCAAGUAGGGGUUGGUUUUCUACUUAUGCACUGAAGAUGGAACAUGUUAAGGAUACUGAGAUGCUUCAAGCACAACCACAUUUUGGUUUUGUGAUCCCCAAGACUCCAAUAUGUAAAACAUUGGCUACGUGGAUUCAAAUUUCCAGCAGAGCUCAUACUGUAGAAAAACAUCUUAUACCUUGAUUCCUGAAUUUCACAUGUCAACAAGUAUUUUCUGCGAUGUAAAAUCAGUUAGGAUCCUGCCAUUGCUUCAAACUAAGCAAGUCAUCAAUGAAAAGUAAUGCAAGAUGUCAAAUAUUGAUCACCUCUUACGAUCUUCCAUUUUUGUGUCAUUCUGGCAAUAUAUGAAAGGCUAAACUACAUGUGAGCACACAAGAAAGGCUGGUGUUCCCAUUCUAGGACCCAACUUUAGCAUAUUGUCGUAUACCACUAUGCAAAUUCUGACCGUCAAGUUUGAAAUAGGCAGAAGGGCCAAAUCUUCCCCUUCUAGGACCGAUUCCAUAAUCGUCAAGUUUGAAAUAGGCAGAAGGGCAAAAAAAAUCCCUACUAGGACCGAUUUCGUGAAGUUUGAAAUAGGCAGAAGGCAACAAUUUCCCCUUCUAGGACCCAUUUCUAUAUGAAUUUAUGCAUGAGGUGAUAAGGAACCCAGAAAUUAUUUUACUUUAGGUAUGCGGCAAACCAAGAUUGAGGAGGGUCCUUCUCGAGGAACCAUAAGUAAGACCACUACAAUUGACAAGUUUGGAAGAAGCAUUAGAGAAAAAUACCGUUUGAAAUAGGCAGAAGGGCUAAAUAGUUCCCAGCUAGGACCCAUUUCUAAGUAUUCUCUUCAAUUAUUAGGCAAUUGAUGGGAUCUUGAAAAUGAAAAUCGGCAACCAACCGUAAAUGAUAUACAACCUCGAUAACCAUUUAUGUUUUCAUAGCGCAGCAGAAGAAUCCAACAAAAUAUCGAACACAAUCAGAUCCACAACUUCAGUUGGCCACUCAUCCUUUCUUUGUACCGACACGGCCAUGUUUUAAAAUAAUUUUUUCCAAUGUGUUAAUACUGCAGCAUGAAAGGUCUGAUGUUUCUUUAUGCAAAAAGCCAAAAUUGGAGGGUGACAACAUCAAACAUUGAUAAUAGUAGAGAGUGUAUAGAUUCAUAAUUUGGAUGACACCAUUCUAUUCUUCAUAACCAUAAUCUUCUGAAGAUUUCGAAUCUGAAUAUCAAAACAGCAAUUUGCAUCAAUUUAAUAACCGCCCAUUCAUAUCUGCAGUGAAACGCCCUAUAGAUUUUUACUCAGCAAAAAAGAUUUAAAGCUUUUUACUCUAUCACCAGCAAAUUUAUCCUAAAAGUCGUGAAAGAAACCCACAACUACACAUAACAAGGCCUACCAAGAUGUUUAAGGGGCAUGAAUUACAUCCAGAAACAAAUCCACAUGAUCAAAUGUUCAUAAGAAAUCAGAAGGGCUUUUUCAACAGAAAUCUCGAACCCACAAGAUGAGGUGCCUCCAUUAUCCAACUCAAGUGCCCUUUAAUUAUAAACUUAAUCAACUACAACAAACAGAUUUCUAGAGUGGACAGAUGACAAACCAAUACUAAGACUGAUUGCCUUUCUCGAACAUAAUAUGGACCGUUCACUUAAGCCAACUGUAAUCAAAUCGAAAAUAGAAAAAAGUGUUACCUGAAUCACUCUUUUAGGUACCUUUUUAUCUGUAUACUUGUAGAAGGCAAAAAGGCAACCCUUACCAGGCAAGGUUCCAUUUUAGGACCUUUAAAUAUUGCAACAAACUAAUGUUCAUAAUGGGCAGAAGGCAAACCGAGAUGAGCAUGGAUCCUUUCUAGGACCCAAAAUGAACAACUCACAUGAACAGCUCACUUAGCUCAACAGUAAUCAAGUUCAACAUAGGCAGAAUGGUAACUUGGUUCUCUCUUCUAGAUACCUUUACAUUUGUAUAUGUUCGAAGGCAAAAAGGCAACCCAAACUGAGGUUCCAUUUUAGGACUGUCAAAUAUUGCAACAAAUAAAUGUCCUGAACAGGCAGGAGGCAAACCGAGAUGAAUAUGGUUCACUGUCUAGGACUCGAAAGAACAACUUGCAUAUAUGAAUCCAAUAAGUCUCAAUAGAUAGAAAGAUUAACUAUAAUCCCUUUUAGGACCCACAAUGAGGUGGAUUACCACUCAGGAGCUCAAAAUAUGCAGGCGAGCUACACAAAACCCUUUAAGCUACGCAGCAUCGGUAAAAAAUUCCAAAGGAUAACCAUAUAGAUCAAACCCACGAUGUAUCCUUAAACUCUCUUUAGUAACAUGGGGCAGCACAACAAUAGAUUUCUAGAAUCCAAUUUCCCAAUUCAUAAGAAAGUCAAUAAUGAUUAAUAUGUCUUAAGGCGUCAAGUUUUCAACUCCAAGAUAUCUUAUUUCUGGAAAAGAUUGGAUUUUAAAGUUGCACCGUUGAGUCAAAAGUUUAAGAAAUCCAGCAUUAAGCGCCUCGAAGCCUUUUAAAAUGAUCGCAAAUGUAUCUUAUGACCAAAUGCAACCCAUGAGAAAGGAUCUACCAACUCACCAAGCAUACAUCGAAGUGAAAGACACAGUAACAGAGAUCAUUAGAUAGCCACCAUGGCUCAGAGAUACAGAAUUCUCAAACAUUAGAAACCAGUCACUUGUAAUUGUUGUAAGAAAACCCCCUAUAUAUUUUGUUCCUCAAGCAACGGAAUCAAAGCACAACAGGAACCCACGAAACGAACCUUUUAAGGAUUCAAGGUAAUAGUCAGACUCAGAAUGCUUCGAUGCAAAAGAAUCUUUCAAGUCCACAAGAACGCUAAAUCUAGGAACGAAAGUGACGUAAAUGGAUGAAAAAUGGAGAUUUGAGAUGGAAAACGGACCUGUUAAUUGUAGACCCGCACAAAAGAAGUUUCUGACACUUGAAGAGUUCUGUGUCAGAAAUUGUAACCCACCAGAAGAGGGCAAACAGAAAUCGUAACCAGCCAGAGUCUCCGGUCAGCACGAUCUUGAACAGGUUAUCGUAUUCGUGGUCUACCCUAUGUCUCUUUCCCCCAAACACUAAAUUUAUACAAGACACUGUUCCUCUCCUGCUAUCUCUUAUUCUCCUUCUCAUCUCAGAUCUCUCAAACCUGCAUGAGAUCCAAUCGACGACCACGAACAAAUCAAUCAUGAGUUGCAGUAACUGGAACGCAAACAGAUCUGAAACAGUUUCAAAGGAAUAUGACUUACCCGAGGGACGAAUAGAUUAAGAAGGAGAAACGAACUCGUCUACGAACCAGGAACAAUGAGAUUCACAAUUUUCUAUCUUUAAAUUUUGGAUUAUGAAUUUCAUGGUAGGUUGGAUAUGACAAAGAAAUAAGAAGGUUUUCUUUCAUGGCCAUAAAAAAUGGAUACAAAUGCCUUGGAUUAAGGGAUGGGUGCUACAGAGGCUUUGAAAAUUGUCUCUGUCUUUAGAGCUUGAGAAUCCUUCUUUAGCAGGCUUUUAGUUCCUUAUUAUUAUUUAUUAAGAAGAGAAAACACAAGCCAUAUUUCUAUCUCUAUAUUACUACAGCUUAAUGUUUGCUGUAUUUUAUUGGUUACAAGUUGUC
rnacentral:lncRNA from 1 species